GACGUAGGUGGCGAACGUUAUCCGGAAUUACUGGGCGUAAAGCGUGCUCAGGCGGUUUGUUAAGUCCGCUGUGAAAUCCCCGAGCUCAACUUGGGAAUUGCAGUGGAUACUGGCAAGCUGGAGUAUGGUAGAGGAAGGUGGAAUUCCCGGUGUAGCAGUGAAAUGCGUAGAGAUCGGGAGGAACACCAGUGGCGAAGGCGGCCUUCUGGACCAAUACUGACGCUCAUGCACGAAAGCGUGGGGAGCAAACAGG
rnacentral:rRNA from 1 species